rnacentral:sRNA from 17 species
AUGACCCUGCUACCGCGAAGGCUUAAGUUCCACUUAAGGUAUUGCUCCCUUGGGAGAAUAGCGACUAGCGGGGUUUU